rnacentral:tRNA from 1 species
GGCCUGGUAGUUCAGUUGGUUAGAACGCUAGCCUGUCACGCUAGAGGUCGCGGGUUCGAGCCCCGCUCAGGUCGCCA